GAAAAAAACACUAUGAGAACUAUCAGCCCAUGUAGCCAAUCCAACCAGAAAAAUAUGAAAAUUCAAAAAAUUUUCAAAACCAAAAGAUAGCCAAAUCAAUAUUCAAGCGAAUGAUUUCGUUCAUACGUAAACUCUUAUAACAGUUAUCCAACUUUCACAAAUGUUUGUAGUUUCAGAAACUCAAAUUUAUAUCUUUAACAUUGUUAAUCUUCCAUUUUCCCCAAAACAUACAUUUAUAUCAACUCCAAUAGAACAAGAGAAGUCAUGAUAUGAGACCUACCUGCCAUACUUCAAUACCCACG
rnacentral:misc_RNA from 1 species